rnacentral:rRNA from 1 species
AUUGAACGCUGGCGGCAGGCCUAACACAUGCAAGUCGAGCGAGCGGCGGACGGGUGAGUAAUGGCUGGGAAACUGCCUGAUGGAGGGGGAUAACUACUGGAAACGGUAGCUAAUACCGCAUAACAUCAGAUGAGCCCCCAUGGGAUUAGCUAGUAGGUGGGGUAACGGCUCACCUAGGCGACGAUCCCUUUCUGGUCUGAGAGGAUGAACAGCCACCCUGGAACUGAGCCACGGUCCAGACUCCUACGGGAGGCAGCAGUGGGGAAUAUUGCACAAUGGGCGCAAGCCUGAUGCAGCCAUGCCGCGUGUGUGAAGAAGGCCUUCGGGUUGUAAAGCACUUUCAGCGGGGAGGCGUUACCCGAAGAAGAAGCACCGGCUAACUCCGUGCCAGCAGCCGCGGUAAGUG